UUCCUACGGGAGGCAGCAGUGAGGAAUAUUGGUCAAUGGGCGAGAGCCUGAACCAGCCAAGUCGCGUGAAGGAUGACGGCCCUACGGGUUGUAAACUUCUUUUGUCAGGGAGCAAUUGGGUCCACGCGUGGGCUUAGCGAGAGUACCUGAAGAAAAAGCAUCGGCUAACUCCGUGCCAGCAGCCGCGGUAAUACGGAGGAUGCGAGCGUUAUCCGGAUUUAUUGGGUUUAAAGGGUGCGUAGGCGGGAUGCCAAGUCAGCGGUAAAAAUGCGGUGCUCAACGCCGUCGAGCCGUUGAAACUGGCG
rnacentral:rRNA from 1 species